rnacentral:rRNA from 1 species
UACGGAGGGUGCAAGCGUUGUCCGGAUUUAUUGGGUUUAAAGGGUGCGUAGGCGGGUUAUUAAGUCAGUGGUGAAAGUCUGCGGCUCAACCGCAGGAGUGCCAUUGAUACUGGUAGUCUUGAGUACAGUAGAGGUAGGCGGAAUUUAUGGUGUAGCGGUGAAAUGCAUAGAUACCAUAAAGAACACCGAUAGCGUAGGAAGCUUACGAUGCUGUAAAUGACGUUGAGGCACGAAAGCGUGGGGAUCGAACAGG